AGCGAACGCUGGCGGCAGGCUUAACACAUGCAAGUCGAGCGCCCGUAGCAAUACGGGAGCGGCAGACGGGUGAGUAACACGUGGGAACGUGCCUUUCGGUUCGGAACAACCCAGGGAAACUUGGGCUAAUACCGGAUACGCCCUUACGGGGAAAGGAUUUAUCGCCGAAAGAUCGGCCCGCGUCUGAUUAGCUAGUUGGUGGGGUAAUGGCUCACCAAGGCGACGAUCAGUAGCUGGUCUGAGAGGAUGAUCAGCCACACUGGGACUGAGACACGGCCCAGACUCCUACGGGAGGCAGCAGUGGGGAAUCUUGGACAAUGGGCGCAAGCCUGAUCCAGCCAUGCCGCGUGAGUGAUGAAGGCCCUAGGGUUGUAAGCUCUUUCGGCGGGGAAGAUAAUGACGGUACCCGC
rnacentral:rRNA from 1 species